UGUAAGAACCCCAGAUCUUAACUUCUUAAUCCUUCGUUCUUCAGAAUUAAAUUAGCUUUAAUUUUAAGAGCACUUUAUAAUAGAUGAUGGCCCAGCCAACUCAAGGCAAUUAAAUUACAUCAUUCUUUUUGAGAUGUGUCCUCAUUGUUUACCAAGGGUGAAAGCUAUGAGAGGAAGAUCUUGAGAGAGAACCAGGGUGGGAACUCAGUUGACAGAGGGUAAAGAUGAUGAGUCUGGGGACGGAAACAAGAUGGCAUCAACAGGACCAUACAAGAAGAAGUGGAAGUUGAAGAGAAUGAAGGAAAGAUGAAGUUCAAUAAGGCAGAUAGAGGUGGGAAGAGAGAAGUGGCAGGUGUUAAGAAUAACAUGUAAUGCUUUGACCUGAAAUGUGACAUCACAAUGGGGUCCUGGAAGGGGGAUUGUGGGGGAAAACGAGGGUCAUGUCAAAGAUGGUGGAGUCCUGACAGACCUUUCAUGAGAGUUUCUGUGGUGCUCAGUAAUGGGUUAAAUUGUGUCCUCCCAAAAUUCGUAUGUUGAGGGCUGGGCAUGGUGGCUCACACCUGUAAUCCCAGCACUCUGGGAGGCCGAGGUGGGCGGAUCACUUGAGGUCAGGAGUUCGAGACUAGCCUGGCCAACAUGGCGAAACCCCAUCUCUACUAAAAAUACAAAAAUUAGCUGGGCAUGGUGAUGGGUGCCUGUAGUCCCAGCUACUUGGGAGGCUGAGGUGGGAGAAUCACUUGAACCUGGGAGGCGGAGGUUGCAGUGAGCUGAGAUCAUGCCACUGCACUCCUGCUUGGGUGACAGAGCGAAACUCUGUCUCAAAAAAUCAUAUGUUGAAUCCUAAUCCCUAGCACCUCAAAAUGUGACUGUAUUUGGAGUUAAGGCUUUUAAAGAGGUAAAUUCAUAUGGGAGUGCCUAAUCCAAUAUGACCAGAGUCUUUACAAGAAGAGGAGAUUAGGACCCAGGCACACACAGAGGGAAGACUGCAUGAAGACACAAGGAGAAGAUGGCAUCUUUUAAGACACCUGGCCUGUGGAUUACGGCAACCUGAAAAAAUGAAUAUAGAUUCUGAAGAGCAGGAGACAGAGACAGGAAGACAGCAGCCACAAAGGCUCAGGGAGGUCCACAUUUCAGGUAGGGAGGCUUCCCAGGUGGGGUCCUUAGGGGCACAAGCACGUGGUGAGCACUCUGUCCGCAUUUGUUGAUGUAAAUGCUGGUAAUAGCAGAAAUACAUUUGGGAGCAAGCAACUCACUUUUGGUGAACACAGGGUGGUCUCUGGCCUGAGCACAGAGGGUGAUGUGGGCACAUGUCAGAAGGUUUUGCAGAAAGAGUCAGGCGUGUGGGGAUGUGGUGCUACUUUCAGCCUCAAAUGCUUCCCUCCCUGUGACCAGAAGGUCCCACAGAAAAAUGAGCUGGGCACAGGGACAAAGAGGAUGUGCUGAGCUGUAGAAAAGACAGAGUAAAGAGAUUCAUGAAAAUGUCAGGUCUACAGCCCACAGCCUGGGUACCAGAAGCCAGAGCUCAUGUGUGCACGUGUGUGCAUACAUUUGUGUGUGUGUGUGUGUGUGUGUGUGUUACCUGCUGCUCUGCACUGGGCCAUGCUAACACCUAGCUUGGGCCAAGCACAAGGACCCUGUGAAGAGGCUCACAAAUGACUCCUGACUCCUGAGGAUUUAUGUACCAUCUGCUGCUGGACUUACUGCAGUCCCUCCAAGCACACCCUCAAGGACUACUGAGCUGGGGUGCCAUCAGUCUUGGGAAAAGAGAGAGAGAAUUCCCUAAAGCAAUGUUUGGCAAACUUGACUACUAUUCUUUUCAAAGGCCAAGAAACAUUCCUAUGGAGCCUGCCUUGACUUCAGUUAUUGCUGUGGAAAAAAAGCAGCACAAACACAAGCAGCUAAGCUUAUAGUUGCUUUACAAGUGCAAAACAAAAACCAAAUGUGUAAAUUAAACACAAUUGCAAACAGCAAUAAAACUCAAACUAACAACAUUA